rnacentral:rRNA from 1 species
GACGAACGCUGGCGGCGUGCUUAACACAUGCAAGUCGAGCGAGGUCCAACCACUCGCAAGAGUGGGGAAGACCUAGCGGCGAACGGGUGAGUAACACGUGAGCAACCUGCCCCGAAGACUGGGAUAACACCGGGAAACCGGUGCUAAUACAGGAUGACCUCUCCAGAUCGCAUGGUCUGGCGAGGAAAUGGAUUCCGCUUCGGGAGGGGCUCGAGGCCUAUCAGCUUGUUGGUGGGGUAACGGCCAGCCAAGGCGACGACGGGUAGCCGGUCUGAGAGGACGAUCAGCCACAGUGGGACUGAGACACUGCCCAGACUCCUACGGAGGCAGAAGUGGGGAAUCUUGCGCAAUGGGCGAAAGCCUGACGCAGCAACGCCGCGUGGGGGAUGAAGGCUCUCGGGUUGUAAACCCCUUUCAGCAGGGGCGAAAUUGACGGUACCUGCAGAAGAAGCCCCGGCCAACUACGUGCCAGCCGCCGCGGUAACAC